rnacentral:lncRNA from 1 species
UUUAUAUGGGCAAGCUUCAGGAACCAAGAAGUGUCUUGAGAUGAUAAGAGAUACCGGGACGGAGAUCCCGCAGGAAAUGAUAGACAUCUUCUCGGAGCAAGAGAAGUUGCACGAGGCAGAGGUCGCUAAACUUCGCCUCGAUCCGUUCUCAGAAGCAGAUUUCGCCCUCUCUCCACUCAACCUACCUUCUCGGUUUGUAAGCGAGGAAUUGAUGGGGACUCUUGAUCCGUACGGGUCGAAUGUUGGUCUGAUUGGCCAUGAAUCGGCUUCCCAACUGAUUACUUCUCGUGAGGCUGCUGACGACCCGAUUGACGAGCCAAUGAUUGAUAUUUCUUCUGCUUUGUCAAAGCGCGUCACCGUCCCUGAAGGAACUGCGGUCGAGGAGUGUCCUUGCAAGAACGAUCCCGAAGUAGGCGGCAGCGCGAUUCAAGAGGAAACAGGGGACGUAGCCGCUGAAGAUCCGGUCUUGGUUUCCUCGUCUGAAGAACGAGAAGACGACGAGGGGGGUGAUCAAGACGAGAACAAGUCGUCUCCGGCGCUUAUCAAAGAAGCGGCUCUGAACCCGUCAGCCCCGGACCCUCCUGCACAGAUUGAAGGCCUCAACACUCACGUCGCUGAAGAGACCAUGGAGUCGCUUGACCCGGUUGUGUCGAACAAGGAUGACCAAGACACGGUCGCUUGAUUUUUUUUUUCUUGUUGUAUUUGUUUUUUGGAUGCUAUCAUUUGUGGUCUUGAUAGACCUUGUUGUUGUAUGACUUAGACAUAUACUUAUUUUUUGUUUUAGUCGGCGAGUUGCUGUAUUAAGCGUGCUCUUAAGAUCGCGUUUUCUCGUGUUUCCCUAUCUGUAUUUGCAAUUUGUCUAAGUAGUGUUUCAGUUAUCUUUACCGUUUCGCGAUAUACUCGGCUAGAAACGUUAGAUUUCUGAACCUUAGCUUUUGCAAAUAGAUAAAGAAACAAAACCGCCAAAAAGGGUUCGUUCAGGUCUUGUUGUAUUUUCGAUUUGAGGUCACGUCUAAGCGAGUAUUCAAAUUUCAAAAACAAGGAACUGAAUCUAAGAGUGGAAGGUUCUUUCGUCUGUUUUCUUAGUGACGAUCGAGUAACCGGGUAGCUAGUCCGUUACGCGUUAGUCGAGAAAAGGCGAAGAUUCACUCUGUCUGGCCAGUCAAUGCUCUUGGGCAUAGGUGACUCGCGACCGUAUGGUCCUUAAGCUAAGUGUCUGAUCAGGACAUAGCUAUAGACAAAGGGGCGUGAGCGUCCGCGUGUCCUCUGCUGGAGGAUUGGGAGCCGUUAGGUACAAAAGUCAUUGUUUACUCGAUUGAGGUCUAAACAAGGUUUUAACUUUGGUUUUGUAUAGUUGGACCUGUUAAGGCUGCCUACGUACCUCGGUUGAGGAUCAAGCCAUUCGUAGUUCGUAUUUUCCCGAGUAAAAGUGGUCGUUGUUAGCGCAUUUACUCGGUCGAGUAGAAGUGACCACGGGGGUGCAUCUACUCGGUUUUUUUUUUUUAGCGGGAAUAUUCCUACAGGUAGAAGCGUCGUAGGUGCAUUGAGUUCCAUGAUCGUGGGACUUCUUCGCCGCGCGAUGUUUGGAGUCGGUAUACGCCAGGUUUAAUGACUUUGAUGAUUUUGUAUGGUCUCUCCCACCUGGCACCGAGUUUACCGGCGUUGAGCUCCUUAGUGUUCUCAAACACUUUGCGCAUGACGAGGUCACCGAGUUCCAGAGGUCGGGCACGGACCUUUUUGUUAGAGUAGCUCUCAAUCUGAUGUUGGUAAUUCUGGAUGCGCAGCAGAGCUUGAUCUCGUCGUUCUUCUAUCUCAUCGAGGGCAUCGAGUAGCAUCUCCUUGUUGAGCUCGACGUAUUGAGGCAUUUUGGAACGUCGGAGGCUUGAAACGUUAACUUCAGCAGGAGCCAUUGCUUCGACACCGUAGGCGAGGGAGAAAGGUGUCGAUUUAGUCGAUCCGCGCGGGGUUGUGCGGUGGCUCCAUAGGACUCCGUCGAAUUCGUCGGCCCAAUGACCCUUUUUCAGGUCCAGACGCUUCUUAAUGCCAUCGAUGAUGAGUUUGUUGGAGGAUUCCGCCUGGCCAUUACCUUGCGGGUAACGAAGCAGAUUUCAUCCUCUCUCCACUCAACCUCCCUUCCCGGUUCGUAAGCGAGGAA